GACAAACGGAACAAUCAAUAUAUUGCCGUUGAAUUUGCGCUCGACGCUGUUUCAUGCAUGCACGGUCCUCAUCACUCAUAGCGACGGCACUUCUUGAAAUGGAAGAACUUGUGCCGGAAAUGAAAGCUGCUUGUUAGAAAUUAACUUGCGCAUCCCGCCGGCCGGCAGCAUACAGAUUGGAAUUUCAAAAAUACUGUAGUGGACCGACAAUAAUGCAAGAGGUGUACAUUAAAAUAAACAAAUUAUACGUACUACCACAAGUGUGGUUCAUCGGCUUAAUUAAUGAUAGAAGAGAGAGAUGAGUGGCGGACAAUGGUCGCAGGCCAGCUGUCUGUCUACAUUAUUUUGACCGGCCAGCCGGGUGUGGUGGUGUGAUUCUAGUACAAACACACGUCAGAGUUUUCUUUUUUUUUUCCGCCGGGCGCGGUAAUUCCAGUUCCAAUUUCAAAUCCAUGUAUGAUCAUGAGCAACAAGACAGUAAUGUACUACUCUCCUCCUACACUUAGCACGCACGCAUGCAUGCCACGCCUGCCACACGCAGUUCAUCCGGAUCACUGCUGGUGGCCUCAGCUAGUGCACAGGACUAAACCGAACAUAAGACCAGACGGCGAGGGCCCCUUGGCUCUUGAUGGGGUGCUGUCAGCGUGGGAGGGAGAUUGACGUCGUCCCCUGCUGCUGCCGCUGCUUCCACGGGGCCGGACGUACCAGGGGGGCCGCGCGCGGGGUGGCGCCCGCUGCGCCUCCCGCCGGCACCGCUCCUCCGAGCUCCCCUGCUGCACUGAUCCAUCCAUCAGUGCAUGUUGUUUAUGGGACGGAUCGGUGGAGAGAGAGAGAUACGCACAGUGACACACAUACCUAGCUGUGUACUUCCUCCGUUUCAAAAAAAAUGUCGUUUUAGAAUUUCAAAAUUUUUACUAAUAUUAGAUUCGGAC
rnacentral:lncRNA from 1 species